rnacentral:ncRNA from 1 species
GUGGUAGUAGCAAAUACUCAAAUGAGAACUUUGAGGACUGAAGUGGGGAAAGGUUCCAUGUGAACAGCAGUUGGACAUGGGUUAGUCGAUCCUAAGACAUAGGGAAAUUCCGUUUGAAAGUGCGCCCUCGUGCGCCGUUCGUCGAAAGGGAAGCCGGUUAAUAUUCCGGCACCUGGAUGUGGAUUCUCCACGGCAACGUAACUGAACGCGGAGACGUCGGCGGGGGUCCUGGGAAGAGUUCUCUUUU